rnacentral:tmRNA from 1 species
GGGGUUGACUGGAUUUGACGGCGAGAUGAAAUGGUACGUAAGCACGCGGUGGCUCGAUGGUUUCCACCUAAAUCUGAGCUUUCAACAAAUUAAUUGGCAACACACAGUAUGCUCUCGCUGCUUAAUCGAAGCACAGUAGAUUACGAGCUUAAUUCCUUCACCAGGUGAGGGAACGAGACGUCGCCCCAAGGAUGUUGUUCCGAAUCUGAGGAACCGGCGGCGCAGGUAAAUCGGAAAUAGCCCGGCAGGGGCCUCGACGGCCGGGUGAAGUUUUAGAGGAUAAGGUGCCGGUUGGUGGUCCAGGUCUUGCCGUCACACGAAAAUGAAGUCUGGAAUAAGCGUGUAGAAAGCGUAUGGUUUCCUUGUUCGGACGUGGGUUCGACUCCCACCAGCUCCACC